CACGUAGGGCGCAAGCGUUGUCCGGAAUUAUUGGGCGUAAAGAGCUCGUAGGCGGUCUGUUGCGUCCGCUGUGAAAACCCGGGGGCUUAACCCUGGGCUGGCAGUGGAUACGGACAGACUAGAGGUAGGUAGGGGAGAAUGGAAUUCCCGGUGUAGCGGUGAAAUGCGCAGAUAUCGGGAGGAACACCGGUGGCGAAGGCGGUUCUCUGGGCCUUACCUGACGCUGAGGUGCGAAAGCGUGGGGAGCAAACAGG
rnacentral:rRNA from 1 species